UGGUUAGAAGGUCUGGGAUGGUUAUAGAAGGUCUGGGAUGGUUAUAGAAGGUCUGGGAUGGUUAUAGAAGGUCUGGGAUGGUUAUAGAAGGUCUACAGGAAUCUAUAUGUGAUCCGAUAGGGUCUCAGUGGAUAUAAGGUCUGGGAUGGUUAUAGAAGGUCUGGGAUGGUUAUAGAAGGUCUGGGAUGGUUAUAGAAGGUCUACAGGAAUCUAUAUGUGAUCCGAUAGGGUCUCAGUGGAUAUAAGGUCUGGGAUGGUUAUAGAAGGUCUGGGAUGGUUAUAGAAGGUCUACAGGGAUCUAUAUGUGAUCCGAUAGGGUCUCAGUGGAUAUAAGAUCUACAGGAAUCUAUAUGUGAUCCGAUAGGGUCUCAGUGGAUAUAAGAUCUACAGGAAUCUAUAUGUGAUCCGAUAGGGUCUCAGUGGAUAUAAGAUCUACAGGAAUCUGUAUGUGAUCCGAUAGGGUCUCAGUGGAUAUAAGAUCUACAGGAAUCUAUAUGUGAUCCGAUAGGGUCUCAGUGGAUAUAAGAUCUACAGGGAAUCUAUAUGUGAUCCGAUAGGGUCUCAGUGGAUAGAAGGUCUGGGAUGGUUAUAGAAGGUCUGGGAUGGUUAUAGUAGAUCUACAGGGAUCUAUAUGUGAUCCGAUAGGGUCUCAGUGGAUAGAAGGUCUGGGAUGGUUAUAGAAGGUCUGGGAUGGUUAUAGUAGAUCUACAGGGAUCUAUAUGUGAUCCGAUAGGGUCUCAGUAGAUAUAAGGUCUGGGCUGGUUAUAGAAGGUCUGGGAUGGUUAUAGUAGAUCUACAGGGAUCUAUAUGUGAUCCGAUAGGGUCUCAGUAGAUAUAAGGUCUGGGCUGGUUAUAGAAGGUCUGGGAUGGUUAUAGUAGAUCUACAGGGAUCUAUAUGUGAUCCGAUAGGGUCUCAGUAGAUAUAAGGUCUGCAUGACACUAUACACUUGGGACACUUAUUAACAUGUUUCCAUAUAAUCAUAUUGAUGUGUGUUAUUGUGUAAGUGUGUGUGUGGUGUGUGUGUCUUAGUGUGUAAGAGGUGCCCCGGGUUUAGGUUAUACUGCUGUGCUAGCCAAGGGAUUUUUAGGUUGUAUAAGCAAUAUUAAAUAUGGACUGUUGUGUUUUUUUUUUGGUGUGUAUUUUUGGAAGUGGAAGGGAGGAGGGAACGGAGAGGCGUAUUGCUUCUUAUUUCUCCCUGGUGACUGAGACACAUAUUGAUGAUGUAACAGCAGUAAAUUAUUUAUCCUAAA